CCUCAGGGCUGUAGAACAGGGCUG
rnacentral:miRNA from 2 species